rnacentral:rRNA from 1 species
CUGCUGCCUCCCGUAGGAGUUUGGACCGUGUCUCAGUUCCAAUGUGGGGGACCUUCCUCUCAGAACCCCUACGCAUCGUCGGCUUGGUGGGCCGUUGCCCCACCAACUACCUAAUGCGCCGCAUGCCCAUCCGUGACCGGAGUCGCCCCCUUUGGCCGGAAGGGGAUGUCCCUUCCCGGCGUCAUGCUGUAUUAGGCGGGAUUUCUCCCGGUUAUCCAUCUGUCACGGCCAGGUUGCAUACGUGUUACUCACCCGUGCGCCGGUCGCCGG